CCUCCGGGAGGCAGCAGUGAGGAAUAUUGGUCAAUGGGCGCGAGCCUGAACCAGCCAAGUAGCGUGAAGGAUGACUGCCCUAUGGGUUGUAAACUUCUUUUAUAAAGGAAUAAAGUGAGGCACGCGUGCCUUUUCGCAUGUACUUUAUGAAUAAGGAUCGGCUAACUCCGUGCCAGCAGCCGCGGUAAUACGGAGGAUCCGAGCGUUAUCCGGAUUUAUUGGGUUUAAAGGGUGCGUAGAUGGCUUGUUAAGUCAGUUGUGAAAGUUUGCGGCUCAACCGUAAAAUUGCAAUUGAUACUGGCAGCCUUGAGUACAGUUGAGGUAGGCGGAAUGCGUGGUGUAGCGGUGAAAUGCUUAGAUAUCACGAAGAACUCCGAUUGCGAAGGCAGCUUACUAAACUGCCACUGACAUUGAUGCUCGAAAGUGUGGGGAUCGAACAGGAUUAGAUACCCUAGUAGUC
rnacentral:rRNA from 1 species